rnacentral:rRNA from 1 species
UGGGGAAUAUUGGACAAUGGGCGCAAGCCUGAUCCAGCAAUGCCGCGUGUGUGAAGAAGGCCUUCGGGUUGUAAAGCACUUUUAUCAGGAGCGAAACGCUGUCGGCUAAUACCCGGCGGAACUGACGGUACCUGAGGAAUAAGCACCGGCUAACUUCGUGCCAGCAGCCGCGGUAAUACGAAGGGUGCAAGCGUUAAUCGGAAUUACUGGGCGUAAAGCGUGCGUAGGCGGUUUCUUAAGUCUGCUGUGAAAUCCCCGGGCUCAACCUGGGAAUGGCAGUGGGUACUGGGAGGCUAGAGUGUGUCAGAGGGUGGUGGAAUUCCCGGUGUAGCGGUAGAAAUGCGUAGAGGAUCGGGAGGAACAGUCAGUGGCGAAGGCGGCCACCUGGGACAACACUGACGCUGAGGCACGAAAGCGUGGGGAGCAAACAGGAUUAGAUACCCUGGUAGUCCACGCCCUAAACGAUGCGAACUGGAUGUUGGUCUCAACUCGGAGAUCAGUGUCGAAGCUAACGCGUUAAGUUCGCCGCCUGGGGAGUACGGUCGCAAGACUGAAACUCAAAGGAAUUGAC